GAAAGCCGUAUGAGGGAAAACCUCACGUACGGUUUGAUGAGGAGGGGCUGAAAAAAAAAAAAAACUCAGCCCUUUACUCUAGC
rfam:Paenibacillus yonginensis strain DCY84 chromosome, complete genome.